UCGGGAAUUUUGGGCAAUGGGGGCAACCCUGACCCAGCAACGCCGCGUGAGGGAUGAAGGCCUUCGGGUCGUAAACCUCUGUCGGGAGGGAAGAAAGGUCGCUGUUCGAAUAGGGCAGAGGCUUGACGGUACCUCCAAAGGAAGGACCGGCUAACUCCGUGCCAGCAGCCGCGGUAAUACGGAGGGUCCGAGCGUUGUUCGGAAUCAUUGGGCGUAAAGCGCGUGUAGGCGGCUUGGCAAGUCGGGUGUGAAAGCCCGGGGCUCAACCCCGGAACUGCACUCGAAACUGCCUCGCUCGAGUCCCGGAGAGGAAGGCGGAAUUCCCGGUGUAGGUGUGAAAUCCGUAGAUAUCGGGAGGAACACCAGUGGCGAAGGCGGCCUUCUGGACGGUGACUGACGCUGAGACGCGAAAGCGUGGGGAGCAAACAGGAUUAGAUACCCGCGUAGUCC
rnacentral:rRNA from 1 species